CAACAAGUUAAUAAUGACAUUUUACUUUUUGUCAGAAGGUAGAUAUUUAUGAUGGGUGUUAUACAAUAGGUAAAACAGCAUUUCCAAGAUGAGUUGUUUCCAGGACGACAGUAAAGUGUGGUAUCGUGUGCUACUGAUUAAAGACCACAACAUGUGUUUAUUUGGUUAACCAUUGCAUACCGUUUAUUGGAUUCCUACGGGAGUUGUCGAACUUGAAAAGAAGAAACUGCUCAUUCGUGCAAGGAAAUGUCGUGUAGCUGGCUAUUGGAUUCACCUCAAUGGACAAUAGCACAAAAAUAUCACCUACAAUCCAACCUUCAUGUGGCUAAUUGAUUUUCAUGCCAGACAUAUUGUAUCAAUAAAUGAAAAAGAAAUACUAUAUUGCUCAUGGGAAGGAGCGGAAGUGGUCGAGAAACAUUCAAGUGCGUGGAAAACAUUGUCAACUAAACGAGUGUCAAAACUGUUAAACUUCCUUUUUAUUAAACUUACAGCCAACUUAAAAAAAUUGAAACCUUUUAUUAGAUAUUUGAAAGUAAAAGAAUGACAAAAUUACCAAUAGACUGGUACUUAUAUGACAUAUCAUAUAUUUCCAGAAAAAGCAUCCAGAAAUAUGAAAUCGGAUGCUAACAACUAAUGUUUUCAGUUUAUCUUUGGCCAUUUUGUAAAUUUUGAAUAAACUUGAUGUGUGUAAAUAUAUAAAUUACAAUAUGA